AAUCAAACCGGGAGAUAGCUGGUUCUCCCCGAAAGCUAUUUAGGUAGCGCCUCGUGAAUUCAUCUCCGGGGGUAGAGCACUGUUUCGGCAAGGGGGUCAUCCCGACUUACCAACCCGAUGCAAACUGCGAAUACCGGAGAAUGUUAUCACGGGAGACACACGGCGGGUGCUAACGUCCGUCGUGAAGAGGGAAACAACCCAGACCGCCAGCUAAGGUCCCAAAGUCAUGGUUAAGUGGGAAACGAUGUGGGAAGGCCCAGACAGCCAGGAUGUUGGCUUAGAAGCAGCCAUCAUUUAAAGAAAGCGUAAUAGCUCACUGGUCGAGUCGGCCUGCGCGGAAGAUGUAACGGGGCUAAACCAUGCACCGAAGCUGCGGCAGCGACGCUGAUGCGUUGUUGGGUAGGGGAGCGUUCUGUAAGCCUGUGAAGGUGUGCUGUGAGGUAUGCUGGAGGUAUCAGAAGUGCGAAUGCUGACAUAAGUAACGAUAAAGCGGGUGAAAAGCCCGCUCGCCGGAAGACCAAGGGUUCCUGUCCAACGUUAAUCGGGGCAGGGUGAGUCGACCCCUAAGGCGAGGCCGAAAGGCGUAGUCGAUGGGAAACAGGUUAAUAUUCCUGUACUUGGUGUUACUGCGAAGGGGGGACGGAGAAGGCUAUGUUGGCCGGGCGACGGUUGUCCCGGUUUAAGCGUGUAGGCUGGUUUUCCAGGCAAAUCCGGAAAACUAAGGCUGAGGCGUGAUGACGAGGCACUACGGUGCUGAAGCAACAAAUGCCCUGCUUCCAGGAAAAGCCUCUAAGCAUCAGGUAACAUCAAAUCGUACCCCAAACCGACACAGGUGGUCAGGUAGAGAAUACCAAGGCGCUUGAGAGAACUCGGGUGAAGGAACUAGGCAAAAUGGUGCCGUAACUUCGGGAGAAGGCACGCUGAUAUGUAGGUGAAGUCCCUCGCGGAUGGAGCUGAAAUCAGUCGAAGAUACCAGCUGGCUGCAACUGUUUAUUAAAAACACAGCACUGUGCAAACACGAAAGUGGACGUAUACGGUGUGACGCCUGCCCGGUGCCGGAAGGUUAAUUGAUGGGGUCAGCGCAAGCGAAGCUCUUGAUCGAAGCCCCGGUAAACGGCGGCCGUAACUAUAACGGUCCUAAGGUAGCGAAAUUCCUUGUCGGGUAAGUUCCGACCUGCACGAAUGGCGUAAUGAUGGCCAGGCUGUCUCCACCCGAGACUCAGUGAAAUUGAACUCGCUGUGAAGAUGCAGUGUACCCGCGGCAAGACGGAAAGACCCCGUGAACCUUUACUAUAGCUUGACACUGAACAUUGAGCCUUGAUGUGUAGGAUAGGUGGGAGGCUUUGAAGUGUGGACGCCAGUCUGCAUGGAGCCGACCUUGAAAUACCACCCUUUAAUGUUUGAUGUUCUAACGUUGACCCGUAAUCCGGGUUGCGGACAGUGUCUGGUGGGUAGUUUGACUGGGGCGGUCUCCUCCUAAAGAGUAACGGAGGAGCACGAAGGUUGGCUAAUCCUGGUCGGACAUCAGGAGGUUAGUGCAAUGGCAUAAGCCAGCUUGACUGCGAGCGUGACGGCGCGAGCAGGUGCGAAAGCAGGUCAUAGUGAUCCGGUGGUUCUGAAUGGAAGGGCCAUCGCUCAACGGAUAAAAGGUACUCCGGGGAUAACAGGCUGAUACCGCCCAAGAGUUCAUAUCGACGGCGGUGUUUGGCACCUCGAUGUCGGCUCAUCACAUCCUGGGGCUGAAGUAGGUCCCAAGGGUAUGGCUGUUCGCCAUUUAAAGUGGUACGCGAGCUGGGUUUAGAACGUCGUGAGACAGUUCGGUCCCUAUCUGCCGUGGGCGCUGGAGAACUGAGGGGGGCUGCUCCUAGUACGAGAGGACCGGAGUGGACGCAUCACUGGUGUUCGGGUUGUCAUGCCAAUGGCACUGCCCGGUAGCUAAAUGCGGAAGAGAUAAGUGCUGAAAGCAUCUAAGCACGAAACUUGCCCCGAGAUGAGUUCUCCCUGACUCCUUGA
rnacentral:rRNA from 1 species